rnacentral:misc_RNA from 1 species
AUAAGCACCGGCCAACUACGUUAGCCGCGGUAAUACGUAGGUGCAAGCGUUAAUCAGAUUACUGGAGGCGUAAAAAGAGUGUGCGCAGGCGGUUCGGAAGAAGAUCUGUGAAAUCAGAGCUUAACUGAACUUCUGCAUUUUUAACUACCGAGCUAGAGUGUGUCAGGGAGGUGGAAUUCCGCGUGUAGCAGUGAAAUGCGUAGAUAUGCGGAGGAACACCGAUGGCGAAGGCAGCCUCCUGGGGGAUAACACUGACGCUCAUGCACGAACGUGGGAGCAAACAGGAUUAGAUACCCUGGUAGUCCACGCCCUAAACGAUGUCAACUAGCUGUUGGGGCCUUCGGGCCUUGGUAGCGCAGCUAACGCGUGAAGUUGACCGCCUGGGGAAUACGGUCGCAAGAUUAAACUCAAAGAAAAUGACGGGGACCCGCACAAGCGGUGGAUGAUGUGGAUUAAUUCGAUGCAACGCGAAAAACCUUACCUACCCUUGACAUGUCUGGAAUCCCGAAGAGAUUUGGGAGUGCUCGCAAGAGAACCGGAACACAGGUGCUGCAUGGCUGUCGUCAGCUCGUGUCGUGAGAUGUUGGGUUAAGUCCCGCAACAUAGGCGCAACCCUUGUCAUUAGUUGCUACGAAAGGGCACUCUAAUGGGACUGCCGGUGACAAACCGGAGGAAGGUGGGGAUGACGUCAAGUCCUCAUGUGGCCCUUAUGGGUAGGGCUUCACACGUCAUACAAUGGUCGGGACGGGGGUCGCCAACCCCGCAGGGGGGGAGCCAAUCCCAGAAACCCGAUCGUAGUCCGGAUGCAGUCUGCAACUCGACUGCGUGAAGUCGGAGCCACUAGUAAUCGCGGAUCAGCGUGUCGCGGUGAAUACGUUCCCGGGUCUUGUACCACACUUAGUCACACCAUGGGAGUGGGUUUUACCAGAAGUAGUUAGCCUAACCGUAAGGAGGGCGAUUACUACGGUAGGAUUCAUGACUGGGGUGAAGUCGUAACAAGGUAA